UGCCAAGUAGAAUAAAGAGACUGCGGAGGAUGCUUAGCCGCCUUAUCAAGGGAGGUUUAUAACCAAAACCCAUAGUUAGGUUCAUUAGAGCCUUAUUAUUAUCUAUGUUGCGAUCCCAGGAGAAAUUAUUUAGUCAAGUACACAGGGAACGAAACCAACCUAGUACUCGUAGAAAAAAAGAUUUACCAAGAGUUAGGUAGUAGCUAGAGCAAACCCUAAUUAGCUAGGCUUUCACAAAUAAUGAGCAUUACAAUAGUCUUUUGAUGAAUGACUUAGUAAAAAGUACUUUUCUUAAUUUGCAGGUUAGCUAAGCUAAUCCAAAGAGGAUAAAAGGCCUGUAAUCAAAAGUGUGUUUGUUCUUUGGGUCAAGUACUACGAUUUUUCGUAGGAAGAUAGGGGUGCCAUCCUCUAAGGCUAAAUAUGAUAAGGUGAGUGAUAGUGAAGAGUAGUGUGAGCGAAAGGUUCAAAAGUAGGUAGUUAACCGUUGAAAUAGAACUUGAAUCCGUAGUCUUCUAAGCAGUCAAAGCUCUACGGCCCUCAAAAGUUGCAAGUGAUGACAUACCUUUUGCAUAAUGGGUCGCUUAGUAAUAGUCAAUAGCAAGGUGAAAGCCCUAGCGAAUGCGACAAUGGUUGAUAAGACCAAUUGGUUAAGUUGACUCGAAACCUAACAAUCUAGCCAUGAUCAGGACAAGUUGACUCGAAACCUAACUAUCUAGCCAUGAUCAGGUCAAGUUGAAAUGGACCGAACAGAUGUCCUAAGUAAAGGGCUCCAAUGAAUUGUUGCUAGCAAGUGAAAGAGAAACCUAGCUAGGAGAUAGUUGGUCCUACACGAAAUAUAUUACAAUAUAGUGUUAUGAUGACAUCCUAUGUAGGGACAACUCUGAUUGUAAGGAUUCUUCCGAGGUGUUGGCUUUACCCAUGACAAUGAACCUAGAAAUGACAUAUUAAUGAUCCAUAGCAUACAACCUAUUUGUGAUAAGGCGGGUAGGCAAGAGGGAAAUGACCCUCAAUGUUUGUUUACGGUUCCUAAUUUCCCGUUAAGUGAUAGAAAGGAAGUGAAUUUCCCAAGAGAACUACGAUAUGCAUCUGGUAGUUGCGAUUGAAUAAUGAGAGUGUAACAACUCAAUAGUCUAAGUGGUCUUUUGAUCACGGGGGAAUAAGCGCCGAAAAUUCAUAGGGUAUAGACAGUAAACCGAAACAACAUCCUGUAGUCUAUGCGAUGACAGAGGGUAGAGGAGAAAUUAGUACCAAAGAUUCAAGGUGUUUCUCCUUUUUUAGGUAACUAAUGAGAGAAUGGCGACAUGAGUAGCGAUAAGGAUGGCCAUCCUCCUUGAAUACGUAAGGGUGAGAUAGAUCAGUUCAACUUCUAUCUGUUAUUACGGCCCCUAAGGUACUUAUUAUAAUGGAUGAGGCUGAUGGGAGUGGUUUAUGUUUGCAGAUCUAGUGGUCUGAAAGGAAAUAGCAUAACUAUGAUUACCGUACCCUAAACCGACACAGGUACGUGGGUAGAGCAUACUAAGGGGUAGGAUUAAUAACGUUUAAGGAACUUGGAAAAAUGCUCUCGUACGUUUGACAAUAAGGGAGAGUUGAUUACAGCUGUCACAGAAUUUUGGAUUGCGCAAAAACACAGGUAUCUGCUAUAAUUCAAGUUAUUGUAUAGGUACUUAACCUUGCCCAGUAUAGGUAGUAUAAGAGAGGGUAUACUAUUAUAGUAAUCGAUUACUCUUUAAGCUCCUAUUAACAGCGACCUUAACUAGAAGGGUCCGAAGGUUGGAUUGCAACCUUUGUAUAAUAUCUCUUUAUGUUGAAACUGUUAGAAUAUAGAGGAUUGUGCCUGUUUAACCAUUGACGAUACCCUCGUCACC
rfam:Picea glauca, whole genome shotgun sequence.